rnacentral:snRNA from 1 species
GUGUUUGCUUCAGCAGCACAUAUACUAAAAUUGGAAUGAUAUAGAGAAUAUUAGCAUAGCCCCUGCACAAGAAUGACAUGCAAAUUCAUGAAAAGUUCCAUACUUUU